rnacentral:misc_RNA from 1 species
UCUCCGUUGGUGAACCAGCGGAGGGAUCAUUACAGAGUUGCAAAACUCCCAAACCAUUGUGAACGUUACCUAUCCCGUUGCUUCGGCGGGCGGCCCGGGCCCCGCGCCCGGCGCCCCCCGGCCCCCCGUGGGCGCCCGCCGGAGGUAAACCAAACCCUUGAAUUGCAUGGCCUCUCUGAGUCUUCUGUACUAUAUAAUAGUUAAAACUUUCAACAACGGAUCUCUUGGUUCUG